GACGAACGCUGGCGGCGUGCCUAAUACAUGCAAGUAGAACGCUGAAGGAGGAGCUUGCUUCUCUGGAUGAGUUGCGAACGGGUGAGUAACGCGUAGGUAACCUGCCUGGUAGCGGGGGAUAACUCUUGGAAACGAUAGCUAAUACCGCAUAAGAGUAGAUGUUGCAUGACAUUUGCUUAAAAGGUGCAAUUGCAUCACUACCAGAUGGACCUGCGUUGUAUUAGCUAGUUGGUGAGGUAACGGCUCACCAAGGCAACGAUACAUAGCCGACCUGAGAGGGUGAUCGGCCACACUGGGACUGAGACACGGCCCAGACUCCUACGGGAGGCAGCAGUAGGGAAUCUUCGGCAAUGGACGGAAGUCUGACCGAGCAACGCCGCGUGAGUGAAGAAGGUUUUCGGAUCGUAAAGCUCUGUUGUAAGAGAAGAACGAGGGUGAGAGUGGAAAGUUCACACUGUGACGGUAUCUUACCAGAAAGGGACGGCUAACUACGUG
rnacentral:rRNA from 1 species